UACGUAGGGUGCUAGCGUUGUUCGGAAUCAUUGGGCGUAAAGCGCGUGUAGGCGGCUAGUUAAGUCGGGUGUGAAAUCCCUGGGCUCAACCGAGGAAGUGCAUCCGAAACUGAUUAGCUCGAGAGUGGUAGAGGAAGGUGGAAUUCCUAGUGUAGAGGUGAAAUUCGUAGAUAUUAGGAGGAAUACCGGCGGCGAAGGCGGCCUUCUGGACCAUUUCUGACGCUGAGACGCGAAAGCGUGGGGAGCAAACAG
rnacentral:rRNA from 1 species